UAUCAAAAACAUGUCUUUUUGUAUUAUAUUUAAAGUCCAACCUGCCCAUUGAAAUUUUUUGAAAGGCUGCGGUAUUUUGACCGUACAAAGGUAGCAUAAUCAAUAGUUUUUUAAUUGAAAACUUGUAUGAAUGGUUUAAUGAGAUAUUUUCUGUCUCAUAGAAAUUUUUAUAAAAAUUAAUUUUUUAGUUAAAAAGCUUAAAUAAAUUUAAAAGACGAGAAGACCCUAUAGAGUUUUACAUAUUUUUUAUUAUAGUUUAAUUAUAAAAAUUAAAGCUUUAAUUUAAAAUAUGUUUUGUUGGGGUGACAAUAAAAUUUUUAUAGCUUUUAUUUUUAAAAUUCAAUGAUUUUUGUAUAAUUGAUCCAUUUAUAGUGAUUAUAAGAUUUAAUUACCUUAGGGAUAACAGCGUAAUUUUUUUGUAGAGUUCAUAUCGAUAAAAAUUUUUGCGACCUCGAUGUUGGAUUAAGAAUAAUAUUAGGUGUAGAAGCUUAAUUAAUUAGGUCUGUUCGACCUUUAAUUUCUUACGUGAUCUGAGU
rnacentral:rRNA from 1 species